rnacentral:tRNA from 1 species
CAGAGUGUAGCCAAAUAGUUAGGCGUCUCACUUACACCGCGAAGAAAUCCGUGCAAAUCGGAUCACUCUGA